UGUGCGAAAGCAUGAUAAGGGAACUCCGAGUGCCAGCAUUAAAUGUUGGCUGUCCUUGUGCCUAAAACGCACAAGAUAGCAAGGGCCGGGUAAGACCGGUGCCAGCCGCCGCGGUAACACCGGCGGCCCGAGUGGUAGUCGCUAUUAUUGGGUCUAAAGGGUCCGUAGCCGGUUUGAUAAGUCCUCUGGGAAAUCUGAUUGCUCAACAAUCAGGCUGCCAAGGGAUACUGUCAAACUUGAGACCGGGAGAGGUAAGAGGUACUUCAAGGGUAGGAGUGAAAUCUUAUAAUCCUUGGGGGACCGUCUGUGGCGAAGGCGUCUUACCAGAACGGGUCUGACGGUGAGGGACGAAAGCUGGGGGCGCGAACCGGAUUAGAUACCCGGGUAGUCCCAGCCGUAAACGAUGCUCGCUAUGUGUCAGAUACGGUGCGACCGUAUCUGGUGCCGUAGGGAAGCCGUGAAGCGAGCCACCUGGGAAGUACGGCCGCAAGGCUGAAACUUAAAGGAAUUGGCGGGGGAGCACUACAACGGGUGGAGCCUGCGGUUUAAUUGAUUCCA
rnacentral:rRNA from 1 species